AUGAGUUCAAUAAGUUUUUACCAAAAGAAAUUGCAUUAUAAUUGAUAUUGAAUGUGACUUUGAUUUCAUGUCAUUAAACUCCAGUUAUUUAUUUAACUUUACCCUCAAUAGUAUCCUCCUAAAGUUCAUCUGUAACUUUUUCAAGCUUCAUGUGGGUGUACUAUGAGUCAAGAGCGAAGUCUUUCUCCCUGGGCAUCUUAUUUUUAGACAUUGUACAUGGGCUAAAGACCUAAUGACAUUAAUUGUGACUUCAAGCUAAGUUUACAAAGUUUUUGGCCUAGAAAGUGCCCGGUGGCCUGGCGUUAGACCUGUUGGAGGGCCUCUGUUCAUUACCGUUAUGGGCAGGGGGUGGUCUGUAUGUUUGUGUGUGUGUGCGUGGCUGUGUGUAUUAUGGUGUUUUCAGGACCAGGCUGUGAAAUGCCGGUGAGGAACAGCCUGCAGACUGUUUGCGCUGAUGUCACAGAGAGCUGAGACCAAUGUGGACAGACAGUUGGAGCCCCUCGUAUUUAAAGCUAAGAAGUUCAGACAGAUGACACCCCUCAGGGAGGCCUGCAAUUGUGAGUCCCCUCGCCUGCGCCUUUUCUAUUUCCCCGAGUGAGGCGAGAGAUCCUGCUUAUUGCCUGUCACUCACUAUGUUUAUUUGGACAACAAUAUUUUCACAUGAUUAAGAUAAUACUCUGAUUAAACAUCUACCAUCAGUA